CUAAAAUCCCAAAAUCUAACUAGUACUAAAAUCCUAAAUUCAAAUUAGCUAGCUAUUCCUAAUCCCAAAUUCAAACUAUUAGUCCUAAAAUCUCAAUAAUAAUUCAAACUAACUCAAAUAAUACCCAAGUUCAAACAACUCCUUAAAUACCCUAAUUCAAUCUAAUCUUACAAUUCCAAAAUCAAACUAAUUAACUUAAGAAAUACCGAAUUUCAAACAAAUCCUAAGAUACCCUAAUUCAAACUAACCCUAACAUUAAAAUUUUCAAUUCACAAUCAACAAACACAAACUAACAAUCAAAUAAUCCCUAAUUCAAACUAACAAUCAAAUAAUACCUAAUUCAAACUAACAAUCAAAAACCCUAAAUCAUUCACUUACUAACUAACAAUCAAUCAAACUAACAAUCAAUAAAACUAAGUAUAUUAGUACUCUAAUUUUGAGAUACUUCAACUAAAUAGAAACAAAAGUAAUUUAUUAUGGAGGUUCUAAAAAUUCACCUUCACUAAGAAGGUCGGGGAUGGAGGUGCUGGCCGAGAUGGAGGCGACGCCGGUCGGGAGGGAGGCGCGCGACCUCCUGCUGCUGGGUGUCACUCCCUCUGCAGCUGCCGCGACGUCCUCUGCUGCUGCGAAGGAGGGUGGCUGCGGUGGGGGAUGGCGGCGUGGCGCCGGUCGGAGAGGUGGCGUGGCGCCGGUCGGGGAUGGGUGGUGGGGAUCGGCGCCGAUGGGGUGGGUCAGGGGUGGAUCUGCAGUUGGGAGUGAAAGUGGACUAGGUUUUGAGAGUUAGUGUUUAAUUAGGAGGAAGACUUAUAUUGUCAUUCUUUUUUUAAGAGAAUUCUUAAUUUACCGACCUCGGGAUGUCGAUAUUUUUAAAAUAAUACAUCUAUAUAUACAGAUCUAUAUAUAUAUGUAAAUUUAUUAUAUAUGUAUAUGUAUACAUCUAUAUAUAUAUAUAUACAUAUAUACAUCUAUAUAUAUAUAUAUCUAAAUUUAUUAAAUUAAACUUCUGUUGAUGUGUAGUUAAAUUAUAAAUAUAUAUAGACACACACACACACAUAUAUAUACAUAAUUAUUU
rnacentral:lncRNA from 1 species